AUGCAUUUGGUCAAGCUUUACUUAAGGGGCAGCGCAAUAAAGGAAGAAGGUAAAGUCAUGGAAAUACUAGGGCCACCUCCCAACCUCAUGCACCUUCGUCUUGGAAGCGGCUCUUAUAUUGGGGAGAAGUUGGCGUUCAAAACGGGAGCAUUCCUGAAUCUCAAGAAACUUGAUAUUUGUCUGGCGGAACUGAGAGAGGUCAAAUUUGAGGAUGGCACCUCACCCCAGCUGGCAAUGAUACAUAUCCGUUGGUGCAACUUGGCAUCAGGAAUUAUUGGAGUCAACCAGCUUCUAAAGCUCAAGGAGAUCUCACUUGGUUCCUAUGGUCGAGUGGCGAAGCUUGGUAUGCUGCAAAGUGAAGUGGACGCACACCCCAACAGUCCCGUGCUGCGACUGUCCAAGGAACGGAGCCAUCACGACCCGGGGGGUGUUGUUAUCCAAGUGGAGGAAGCAACGGAGGAAUCGUCAUCUCCCCAUGCUGAGCCUGAAGCAGCGGUAGUGACGAGAAACCUCAGCCAAGAUGACCUGCUCUACACUUACAAUUCAUGCUGA
rnacentral:rRNA from 1 species